rfam:Schistosoma mansoni, Puerto Rico, WGS project CABG01000000 data, contig: 0062
AUACAGUUGACGAGUCCCAAAUAGGAUGAAAUGUGCAUCCUGGAU